rnacentral:rRNA from 1 species
AACUAACAAGGAUUCCCCUAGUAGCGGCGAGCGAAGCGGGAAGAGCUCAAAUUUAUAAUCUGGCACCUUCGGUGUCCGAGUUGUAAUCUCUAGAAAUGUUUUCCGCGUUGGACCGCACACAAGUCUGUUGGAAUACAGCGGCAUAGUGGUGAGACCCCCGUAUAUGGUGCGGACGCCCAGCGCUUUGUGAUACAUUUUCGAAGAGUCGAGUUGUUUGGGAAUGCAGCUCAAAUUGGGUGGUAAAUUCCAUCUAAAGCUAAAUAUUGGCGAGAGACCGAUAGCGAACAAGUACCGUGAGGGAAAGAUGAAAAGCACUUUGGAAAGAGAGUUAACAGUACGUGAAAUUGUUGGAAGGGAAACGCUUGAAGUCAGACUUCCUUGCCGAGCAAUCGGUUUGCAGGCCAGCAUCAGUUUUCCGGGAUGGAUAAUGGUAGAGAGAAGGUAGCAGUUUCGGCUGUGUUAUAGCUCUCUGCUGGAUACAUCUUGGGGGACUGAGGAACGCAGUGUGCCUUUGGCGGGGGUUUCGACCUCUUCACACUUAGGAUGCUGGUGGAAUGGCUUUAAACGACCCGUCUUGAAACACGGACCAAGGAGUCUAACAUGCUUGCGAGUAUUUGGGUGUCAAACCCGGAUGCGUAAUGAAAGUGAAUGGAGGUGGGAACCGCAAGGUGCACCAUCGACCGAUCUGGAUUUUUAAUGAUGGAUUUGAGUAAGAGCACGUAUGUUGGGACCCGAAAGAUGGUGAACUAUGCCCUGAAUAGGGCGAAGCCAGAGGAAACUCUGGUGGAGGCUCGUAGCGGUUCUGACGUGCAAAUCGAUCGUCAAAUUUGGGUAUAGGGGCGAAAGACU